UACGAAGGGGGCUAGCGUUGUUCGGAAUUACUGGGCGUAAAGGGCGCGCAGGCGGCCGCUCAAGUCAGAUGUGAAAGCCCCGGGCUCAACCUGGGAACUGCAUUUGAUACUGAGUGGCUAGAGUUCGGGAGAGGAGAGUGGAAUUCCCCAGUGUAGAGGUGAAAUUCGUGAGAUAUUGGGAAGAACACCGGUGGCGAAGGCGGCUCUCUGGACCGAGUACUGACGCUGAGGCGCCGAAAGCCAGGGGAGCAAAGCGGG
rnacentral:rRNA from 1 species